UUUGCUUCGAAGUAGCUUUAGCUUGCUCUCUUUGAAUCCCCAUCCUCACCCAAACGGCUCAUUCUCUCUUCUUCUGUGUGUUUUGCUCUUCUAGGCUUUCUCUCUUGUGCUUCAUAAGAUUCUGCUGGAAUCUCUAGGCUCAUUGUUUGUGAAGUGAAGAAGAGAAAAUAGGAGAGGAGAUCAGAGGAGUAGGAUAUCGUCCCGAGGGGCGGGGCCCUCCUCGGAGGCGCCACAGAGGCGGAUCAUGCGGACACAGACGGCGGAGAACCUCGGGGAGUCGAUAUUCGACAGUGAGGCGGUGCCCUCCUCUCUUGUGGAGAUAGCUCCCAUCCUCCGUGUUUCCAAUGAGGUCGAAAAGACGCAACCCAUGGUUGCUUAUCUCUGUAUGUUACUCCACUACUCCCUACUCCAUCUUCCAUGAAAUCGGAUGGAAGUCCACAGUCAGUGGCAAUGAGGAACAUUCAAAUUGAACAUGCACAUCAGACAAAUGAUUUCUAUUUGCAACAAACUAUUAAUCCAUAUCCUAAACUAGUAUCUCUUCAUAGAUCUUUAUUUUUAUGAUGCAUAA